rnacentral:rRNA from 1 species
GACGAACGCUGGCGGCGUGCUUAACACAUGCAAGUCGAACGGAAAGGCCCUGCUUGCAGGGUGCUCGAGUGGCGAACGGGUGAGUAACACGUGGGUGAUCUGCCCCUUAUUUUGGGAUAAGCCUGGGAAACUGGGUCUAAUACUGGAUAGGACCAUGCUGUAGGUGGUGUGGUGGAAAGAUUAGUUUCGGUAAGGGAUGAGCUCGCGGCCUAUCAGCUUGUUGGUGGGGUAAUGGCCUACCAAGGCGUCGACGGGUAGCCGGCCUGAGAGGGUGGACGGCCACAUUGGGACUGAGAUACGGCCCAGACUCCUACGGGAGGCAGCAGUGGGGAAUAUUGCACAAUGGGCGCAAGCCUGAUGCAGCGACGCCGCGUGGGGGAUGACGGCCUUCGGGUUGUAAACUCCUUUCAGCCAUGACGAAGCCCUUGUGGCGACGGUAGUGGUAGAAGAAGCACCGGCUAACUACGUG